GAUCAUGGCUCAGGAUGAACGCUAGCUACAGGCUUAACACAUGCAAGUCGAGGGGAAACGACAUCGAAAGCUUGCUUUUGAUGGGCGUCGACCGGCGCACGGGUGAGUAACGCGUAUCCAACCUGCCCAUCACUUGGGAAUAACCUUGCGAAAGUAAGACUAAUGCCCAAUGACAUCCCACGAAGGCAUCCGAAUGGGAUUAAAGAUUUAUCGGUGAUGGAUGGGGAGUGCGU
rnacentral:rRNA from 1 species